UAGGGAAUAUUGGACAAUGGGGGCAACCCUGAUCCAGCAAUGCCGCGUGAGUGAUGAAGGCCUUAGGGUUGUAAAGCUCUUUCGCGCGCGACGAUGAUGACGGUAGCGCGAGAAGAAGCCCCGGCUAACUUCGUGCCAGCAGCCGCGGUAAUACGAAGGGGGCGAGCGUUGUUCGGAAUUACUGGGCGUAAAGGGCGCGCAGGCGGCUCUUCAAGUCAGGCGUGAAAGCCCCGGACUUAACCUGGGAAUUGCGCUUGGGACUGGAGGGCUUGAGUACGGGAGAGGAGAGUGGAAUUCCCAGUGUAGAGGUGAAAUUCGUAGAUAUGGGGAAGAACACCGGUGGCGAAGGCGGCUCUCUGGACCGUAACUGACGCUGAGGCGCGAAAGCGUGGGGAGCAAACAGG
rnacentral:rRNA from 1 species